rnacentral:lncRNA from 1 species
CAAAAUGUACAUCUAUCAAUAAUUUGAAGUGUGGAAGAUCUUAUCACCCAAGCAAUCACAAAAAAAUAAAAACAAAUUAAAAUAUAACAAGAAGAUAGAAGUUAGUAGUUAGGUUAGAUGGAGUUAGUACAAUAGAAUGGAUCAUCAAAGUACAAAUUAAUCAACUACUAAAAAUACAAAAUCAAAUAAAAAACAAGAGAAAUUGCAAAGUAAUGUAAGAAAUUAAAUUGCAAAUAAAAAUGAAAUUG